UACGUAGGCAGCAAGCGUUGUUCGGAAUUACUGGGCGUAAAGAGUGUGUAGGCGGUGCUCUAAGUUCGGUGUGAAAUCUCCCGGCUUAACUGGGAGGGUGCGCCGGAAACUGGAGUGCUCGAGCGUGGGAGAGGAAAGCGGAAUUCCUGGUGUAGCGGUGAAAUGCGUAGAUAUCAGGAGGAACACCGGUGGCGAAGGCGGAUCUCUGGGCCAUUACUGACGCUGGAGGAGCGAAAGCCGUGGGGAGCGAACAGG
rnacentral:rRNA from 1 species